GACAGAGGGUGCAAACGUUGUUCGGAAUUACUGGGCGUAAAGCGCGUGUAGGCGGCCCAGCAAGUCGGAUGUGAAAGCCCUGGGCUUAACCUAGGAAGUGCAUUCGAAACUGCUGGGCUUGAGUUCUGGAGAGGAAGGCGGAAUUCUCGGUGUAGAGGUGAAAUUCGUAGAUAUCGAGAGGAACACCGGUGGCGAAGGCGGCCUUACUGGACAGUGACGUCGAC
rnacentral:rRNA from 1 species